GAAGCGCCGAGCACCAAAGGUCCUGUAGCUCCUGCAGGAUCUUCGCCCAGCACCGCAGCAACUUUUACACCAGCCUGUCCCACUGAGUUACUCCAGCUCUGUGUGUCUAUCUUUAGUAUUAACUCUCGUCUGUUCUUCUCCAGACGUUUCUCCGUUUGCUUCAGACCCAAGUGCUUUCGGUUUAUAUGUAGUGUAUUAUGAGCGGUGCCCUAUCCAAGCAAGCCCGAGGCUGCUGCAGUCCUCCAACCAUCGCUUUCCAUGGACAUGUGGAUCGACAAGCAAACCACGUCCUCUCCACUGUACAGUAGGGAGACUAUGAAACUGGAAAAUGAAUAAACACCCAAAACAUCUCUGCUAACAGACAGCAGCAAUGAAAACAAAACUGACUGAAGAAUAUUGUGAAGAACAAUUUAAUUUUUUUUCUGAAGUAUAGUCUUCCAACAUCAGGAGCAAUGGAAGUAACAUGGAAACCAUAGUUUCAUUCUUUUGCAAAAGGAUGCAAAAUACAUUGUUAUUUGUAUUGUUUUGAAGUUAUUAACUUCAGUAAGAGCUACUGGAGCUCAUUUUGACUGGCAUGAUAGACCGUAUUGGGAUGAUAUGUAUGAAGGGAAACUGUAAAAUAGAACCAUCAUGAUCUGACCCA